rnacentral:rRNA from 1 species
CACACCGCCCGUCACACCAUGGAAGUUUGUUGCACCAGAAGCAGGUAGCUUAACCGCAAGGGGGGCGCUUGCCACGGUGUGGCCGAUGACUGGGGUG